AAAGACGUGCAUUCAUUUGAUCCUAUUAACAUCAGUGCAGAGACGAAUUCUAAUUUAAGGAGAUUUACAAUCACAUACCACGCUUCAUUUCAUCUCCUCCUAAUUUUUACAUUUUCUAAUUGUCAUUAACAUGCAGUAUCUUGAGUUCAAUAAAUCAAAACCUAGUUGUAGACACCACUCCCACAAAAAUAUAAUACACAAGGAUAGUUUUCCAGGCUUUUGCUUCUUUCUUUCCCUUUUUCGGCUCGAGUCUACUAAACUUCCAACACUAGAACCGUGGGAAUCAAGAAAAUAGUAACUCAACCAACAAUGCUUGCCCUACUAAUGGAUCUGGUGGUACUGGGCUGAUACUUUUUUUUGAGGCAGCUUACGCAAGAUGUACAACACAAGAGCUGAAGGGAGAAUCUCGACCAACUGUUUCAUAUAAGACAUGUUUCGUAAUAAAUAUGUCAAAACAAUUGGCGAAAAAAGAAAACAAGGUACAAAGUUGUGUACCGUGUAAUAGAUUAAAUUCAGAACUGGAUGGUCCAAUACAUCUAGUGAUGCGUUUGAAUCAAAAGCAGAUAGCGCAACCUGUAGAGAACACAAGUUACAGAUAAAAUGUUCUGUUGAUGUAAAAUGUAC
rnacentral:lncRNA from 1 species